GGUUUUGUGAUCUUCAUAAAAGUUUUAGGUCUCCAUCUUAUCUUUCCACCAAGCUAAACAACAUCUAAAACGGAGGUCUGUAGCUCUGGUUAGAACCCAAAAACCGAACAGUGUUCUGGGUUGACUAGACCAGCCCAAUUUCAACCAAUUCAAUAAUUAAACACCUGCAAAAUACCAAGAAUUUUCAAGAAUUAAAUAAAUAUAAAAGACACCUAAAUUCUAGACAAAUGAGCUAAGAACAUACAAAACACUCUAAAACAAAAUAAUUAAGACUAAGAAAAUGUGUGAAAUAAAUUCC
rnacentral:lncRNA from 1 species